rnacentral:rRNA from 1 species
GUCGAGGGGUAGGGUAGCAAUACCUGAGACCGGCGCACGGGUGCGUAACGCGUAUGCAACCUACCUUUUACAGGGGAAUAGCCCAGAGAAAUUUGGAUUAAUGCCCCAUGGUAUAUUUUAGUGGCAUCACUGGAUUAUUAAAGUUCCAACGGUAAAAGAUGGGCAUGCGUCCUAUUAGCUAGAUGGUAAGGUAACGGCUUACCAUGGCUACGAUAGGUAGGGGUCCUGAGAGGGAGAUCCCCCACACUGGUACUGAGACACGGACCAGACUCCUACGGGAGGCAGCAGUGAGGAAUAUUGGACAAUGGGCGCAAGCCUGAUCCAGCCAUGCCGCGUGCAGGAAGAAGCAUCUAUGGUGUGUAAACUGCUUUUGUACGGGAAGAAACACUCCUACGUGUAGGAGCUUGACGGUACCGUAAGAAUAAGGAUCGGCUAACUCCGUGCCAGCAGCCGCGGUAAUACGGAGGAUCCAAGCGUUAUCCGGAAUCAUUGGGUUUAAAGGGUCCGUAGGCGGUUUGGUAAGUCAGUGGUGAAAGCCCUUCGCUCAACGGAGGAACGGCCAUUGAUACUGCCAGACUUGAAUUACUGGGAAGUAACUAGAAUAUGUAGUGUAGCGGUGAAAUGCUUAGAUAUUACAUGGAAUACCAAUUGCGAAGGCAGGUUACUACCAGUGGAUUGACGCUGAUGGACGAAAGCGUGGGGAGCGAACAGGAUUAGAUACCCUGGUAGUCCACGCCGUANACGAUGGAUACUAGCUGUUGGNA